ACAAUUUUAGUAUACACUCAUAUAUUUGAUUUCCAAUCAAAAGUCCCCUUACAGGGAAAUUGUA
rnacentral:tRNA from 1 species